rnacentral:rRNA from 1 species
ACGCUCGACACCUACGGGAGGCAGCAGUGGGGAAUAUUGCACAAUGGGGGAAACCCUGAUGCAGCGACGCCGCGUGAAGGAAGAAGUAUCUCGGUAUGUAAACUUCUAUCAGCAGGGAAGAAAAUGACGGUACCUGACUAAGAAGCCCCGGCUAACUACGUGCCACAGCCGCGGUAAUCUGAGCGGGCUGGCAAGGC